rnacentral:tRNA from 1 species
AGGGGUGUGGUCUAGUGGCAUGACAGAAGCCUCCAAAGCUUUUGACGGGGGUUCGAUUCCCUCCACCCCUG